rnacentral:lncRNA from 1 species
GGAAGGAAGGAAGGAAGGAAGGAAGGAAGGAAGGAAGGAAGGAAGGAGAGAAAGAAAGAAAGAAAGAAAGAAAGAAAGAAAGAAAGAAAGAAAGAAAAGGGCAAAUAGAUUUGGAAAUGGAGUUUUUGCACAUCACUAAAUGGAGCUUUGGAGCAAGAACUUGGGGUCAGAUGAGGAAUCAGAUACAUUGGGCAAUGUUGGGGGGGAGAAGCAGGGUAGGAUUUGGCAAAGGACAGCAUGAGGUAUGACCUACUAAGAGAUAUGGAGCCAGAACAAAGGUUUGAACCAUUUUUGAGGUAGCAGUAGAAGAGAAUAGACACAGCCAGUGUCUGUGAGGAUCAUAACUGCAUCUGUAAGGGAAAACAUUAUAUUUAAAUCUAAACAGUCUGAGUUUGUUAUCUUUGCAAAAUAAACAUUCUCAUGCAUUUGACUUUUUUCCAUGCUUACAAAGUGCACUGGAUGUUGGACGAAAAACAGAGUGAGAUCUAGAGGCAGUUUGCACGCAAAACAGUUAGUAGCAAGAAUUCCUAGCUGAGGGUGUCCUGUCACAUACAGUUAGUAAAAUAUUGAAUGAAUUUGGAUCAGAGUGAGUGCUGACCUUUCAUGUCAUUCCUUUGAGUGCCAGAAGUCCUCCAGAUCUGAGGCGGGGUCUGUAGAUGGAUGAUUGGCUGGUAAAAGGCACAUUUUUUUUGCUUUGCAGUAAGACAAGUAACUUCUGCACUUGUACAUCCUGUAUGCUCCUACUGACCUGUUUUGUGGAUGUUUAGUUUGUAAAAAGGACAGAGUUCUUGCAGUGUGUCUGUGGAAGAAGAUGCAUCAUCUGUUUAAAACCUCUUGAGCAAAACAACUAUGUCUCCUGGUGCUGGUUGUGCAUUCCAGGGUGUCCUCGUCUGCCCUUUCCAUGACAACCUCAAAUGCAAGGGUGGAGGAAAUGAGUGAGAAAAGGAAAAGAAAGAGAUGACACAAAUCCAAACUAAAAAUCUAUGGAAUUGGUCACACUGGUGUAAGCAGAGCCUGCUGGUUAUGGAGCCUGUGAUGCCCAUUGCCUUUGGUGUGCUGCACAGUCCCAAAGCAAGGGCAGCCACUGGGGGGGGUUCUCAAACCGUUUCACUUCCAAAAGGAAAAGAAGCUGGCAGGCAUUCAUAUUUCAGUCCUCAAGUUAUGUAUGUUAAAGUCUCCCAGUGGGAAAAUGGAAGAUAUAAGAGAGCAGAGAGCUGGUGGAGAUACUUGUUAAGCGAAAACAGAAGAAAGAAGCACGUAACCCUAGAGCUACAUCCAGACAAAUUAGAGGUUUCAGAGGUAAUUUGCUGUGGAAGGAGUCCAGGGCUGCCAUCUUCAGCGUCUCACAUACCCUCUAUUCCAGGGGUGUCUUUCCAUGGAAUAUUUGUCUCCUCUGUAAAAAAAUUCAUCUCUUUUCUGUGGAUGGAGGAAUUUGCCACACCAUAG